GUCUUAAAAUGGGGGGCUGGAAAUGGGAUCACACAGGCUUCAUGAACAAAACCAAUGGUGUCUACGAUCCCAGUUUUACAUCACCAACACUGCAACCGAGUAACUUGAAGGUCAGACUCACGCCGCCACCACGCUUCGGAAGAGGAUCCACCCACGGCUGCCCCAGAGAGAGGAGCUGAGGCCACACAGGUCUGGUGGCUACCCCUUGUCUGAGACCCUGAGGGCGGCAGCCUUCUCUCCCCAACAGCUGAGGUGACAAGCCAAAUAAACGGCUUCUGUCGGUGGCUCUCCGGAACGAGGACACAAGCAGAUGGAGCCCUCGAAGCUGAGCCUCCGUCUCUUCCUCUCAGCCUCCCUCAUCCAGCCGUGGCUGCUCAGAGUUCGGGUCAACACGCAAUCGCCUGUAACUAUACUUUGCUCAGCCCAAACUGUUUCCCUUUUCCUUUGCACACGUUCCGGGCACUAAGAGGUGGGCUCCGUGUAGCAGAGAGAACCUGGAGCCUUUUCAACGAAAGGCAGACACCUGCUUGGGGACCAGGUUCAAGCCUAGGACCCUAUCACACCCAGAGGGCCGUUUACAACGGCUGCCAGCUCUCAACACCCCCCCCCAAGGGCCCUUGGCUUGGAACCCGAGAUACUGUUUAGUGACGAAAAGCAAGGCCCAACAGGUCCCAGGGCUGCUUAGCCCGAGCAUGCUAGCACUGGAACCCUCUUCGUGGGAAGGGAGUGAGGAGAGCAGGGGCUUAAAGCCAGUGGACACGCCAGUGGUUCCUUCACUGUGUCUACAUCUGUGUGGCCCUUGCCCUACACGCCCAGCAGGAACAACUUCAUCUGUGCCUAAGCCUUUACAAUUGUUUUUAUUUUUACUGUAAGUUCUGUUACUUGAAGAUUAAAAAAAUUCCUAUGCCUCUA